GGAUCUCUUCAGACUCUCCAUCUCUCGUCUCGUUUCCUCUUCUUCUCUUCAUCCUCGCUCGAUGCCAUCCCAUCGAUCUAAAGGCCGAAGCCAAUAAUCCUGUCAUUAGGUGAGUGAAUAUGUCUCUCCCAAAUUCAGUUGGGGUCUCUCUCUCUUCUUUGCUCUGCGCGGCCCUUCGAGGCUUCCAACGCCGGACGUGUAUGCAUCAAUUGCUUCUCUCUCCGUCCUCUCUCAGGGGUUGAAGUAGUUUUUGCAAUAGAGAAAGCUGCGGUGGAGAUAUGACUUCUGUUCGCUGACGGUGCUCUCGGGCCGUCUAUCAAACUCGACUCGGGGCUGGAUUAUUACAUAGAUGUUGAUUAUCAAGUGGGUGAUGGCUUCUCUUUCAGUGGAGGUGCCUAUUCUCUUUUCCACUACCUCUUUUAUUUGCUAAAUGGCCUUUCCAAGUUUUUCAGUACUAGUAACUGAGGAAGUUUUUGACAUGAAAGUAUUCAAAUGGACCAAGCCCUUCUGAUGAAUGGUUCAAGCAGGGGAAGAUAGUGAGUCCUAUAAAUUACCAAUCUUUCUUUUUUUGUUUUUGUUUUUAUAAUCACCCAUUUGAAAGGAAAUUUAGACCCAAUUUAAUUUGUAUGGAUUCUAUCCUAUGGAUCAUAUGGCUUUUUUUUUUUGUGUGAUCAUAUUCUAGGUGCUUAUAUUUCUCUUGGUUCUGGUGAGAAGGUCCAAUCUUGGACUUGCAAUGGGUGCUGAUUCUCAGGCAGCUGCUGAUGUUUUUAGGUAAAUUUGUACAUUUAGCUUUAGAGGACUAGCGGCUGGCAUGUUUGAAACAGUGUGG